rnacentral:rRNA from 1 species
CAAUAGCGUAUAUUAAAGUUGUUGCAGUUGAAAAGCUCGUAGUUGGAUUUCGGGGCAGCCUGGCUGGUCCGCCGCAAGGCGAGUACUGGUCAGCCGCCCUUCCUCUCGAAAGCCCCGACUGCUCUUUAUUGCAGUGGUCGGGUAGUUCGGGACGUUUACUUUGAAAAAAUUAGAGUGUUCAAGGCAGGCCUACGCCUGAAUACAUUAGCAUGGAAUAAUGGAAGAGGACCUCGGUCCUAUUUUGUUGGUUUCCAGGACCGAAGUAAUGAUUAAGAGGGACAGUUGGGGGCAUUCGUAUUUAAUUGUCAGAGGUGAAAUUCUCGGAUUUAUGAAAGACGAACAACUGCGAAAGCAUUUGCCAAGGAUGUUUUCAUUAA